GUCCUUUUGAAAAUAAUUUAAGGUUUAACCUGCCCACUGAAACAUUUUAACGGCCGCAGUAAUUUGACUGUGCAAAGGUAGCAUAAUCAUUAGUUUUUUAAUUAAAAGCUUGUAUGAAUGGUUGGACGAGAUAAAAUCUGUCUCUAUAUAAAUUAAAUUAGAAUUUAAUUUUUAAGUUAAAAAGCUUAAAUUUUAGUAAAAGACGAGAAGACCCUAUAGAUCUUUAUAUUAUUUAUAAUAGUUUUAAUUAAGAAUUAUUUAUUAAUUAUUAUAAUUAGUAUUUUAUUGGGGUAAUAAAAAGAUUUAAUAAAUUCUUUUUUAUUAUUUACAUUGAUUAAUGAAUAAAUGAUCCAAUUAUUUUGAUUAAAAGAUUAAGUUACCUUAGGGAUAACAGCGUAAUUUUUUUAGAGAGUUCUUAUCGAUAAAAAAGUUUGCGA
rnacentral:rRNA from 1 species